UUGGUCUUAGUACUUAGAUUACAAGUGAACAAAUCGGGGUUUCUCGUUGUUAUUUUCAAAAUAUAAAGUGUUAUUUUGUGUUUUAAGCAUCAUUUUCUUGAGAAAUUAUACAACAUCGAAUAAGUUUCAUCAAAAUAACGCUGUCUUGAAUGACUUUCAUACGAAAAAAGGUGUAAUCUGAACGCCGCGCGUGUCGUACUAUUGCCAAGUGCGCUCUUGUUCUUCUCUGAUCGAUAAUUAGAGCAUAAUUGAAGCGUUGAGAAAAUGAGUUCUAAAUCCGACAUAACUCUGAAAAUUCCCAGUAUCUCAGUGCAUUAAAAAAUUAACACCGAUUUUAAAACAGACUGGAAAUGGGUCAUUAAACCAGAAACGGGAAUCAACGGCUGCCCCACAAAACACUUGCCGGAGAGAGAAAGCAUCGCUGAGCAAACUAAUUGCAAAAACCAUAUGCAAAUACUCACCAGACCCUUUUUCCAAAUCCUAAGUACCACCCCAUCGCACCCCAUACACAGCAGCACCCCUUUCAGUCGACCACAUCCGUUCCAGAAACACAGGCGGGAGAAUCUGCUCUCCGUGUCGAGUGGCAAAAUAUUAAACACAACUCCUCUUGUUGCGCUAGCUGCUGGCGCAAGGGGAUUGCUUCUUCCCUUACGGCCAAACCAACCUCGACACCCACCGCGUAACUAAUCUGAAUUUUAUUAAAAAAGUAAAUAAGCAAAUAAAGGUGGAA